GAGGGUAUAGCUCAGUGGUAGAGUGCUUGCCUAGCAUGCACAAGGUCCUGGGUUCAAUUCCCAGUAUCUCUG
rnacentral:tRNA from 1 species